UACAGAGGGUGCGAGCGUUAAUCGGAAUUACUGGGCGUAAAGGGCGUGCAGGCGGUCUGUUAAGUGCAGGGUGAAAGCUCCCGGCUCAACUGGGAGAGGUCCUUGCAUACUGGCGGACUUGAGGGGGGUAGAGGAAAGUGGAAUUCCCGGUGUAGUGGUGAUAUGCGUAGAUAUCGGGAGGAACACCGGUGGCGAAGGCGCCGCUCUGGGCCGAAACUGACGCUGAGGAGCGAAAGCGUGGGGAGCAAACAGG
rnacentral:rRNA from 1 species